rnacentral:rRNA from 1 species
UGGGGAAUUUUGGACAAUGGGCGAAAGCCUGAUCCAGCAAUGCCGCGUGUGUGAAGAAGGCCUUCGGGUUGUAAAGCACUUUUGUCCGGAAAGAGAUCCUUGGCUCUAAUACAGUCGGGGGAUGACGGUACCGGAAGAAUAAGCACCGGCUAACUACGUGCCAGCAGCCGCGGUAAUACGUAGGGUGCAAGCGUUAAUCGGAAUUACUGGGCGUAAAGCGUGCGCAGGCGGUUUGCUAAGACCGAUGUGAAAUCCCGGGCUCAACCUGGGAACUGCAUUGGUGACUGGCAGGCUAGAGUAUGGCAGAGGGGAGUAGAAUUCCACGUGUAGCAGUGAAAUGCGUAGAGAUGUGGAGGAAUACCGAUGGCGAAGGCAGCCCCCUGGGCCAAUACUGACGCUCAUGCACGAAAGCGUGGGGAGCAAACAGGAUUAGAUACCCUGGUAGUCCACGCCCUAAACGAUGUCAACUAGUUGUUGGGGAUUCAUUUCCUUAGUAACGUAGCUAACGCGUGAAAGUUGACCCGCCUGGGGAGUACGGUCGCAAGAUUAAAACUCAAAGGAAUUGACGGGG